UUCUGGUUGAUCCUGCCGGACCUGACUGCUAUCGGAUUGAUACUAAGCCAUGCGAGUCUUUGUAGUAAUACAAGGCAUACGGCUCAGUAACGCGUAGUCAACCUACCCUAUGGACAAGAAUAAUCUCGGGAAACUGAGCAUAAUUCUUGAUAGAUCAUAAUGCCUGGAAUGGUUUAUGGUUAAAAUGAUUCGUCGCCAUAGGAUGGGACUGCGGCCUAUCAGCUUGUUGGUGAGGUAAUGGCCCACCAAGGCGAUUACAGGUACGGGCUCUGAGAGGAGAAGCCCGGAGAUGGGUACUGAGACAAGGACCCAGGCCCUAUGGGGCGCAGCAGGCGAGAAAACUUUG
rnacentral:rRNA from 1 species